rnacentral:lncRNA from 1 species
AACCAAUGCUGGCGGUGACCAAAGUGCAGCAGGCACGGAAGACACUGUAGUUCCUUCUGGAAAGCAUCUUACUCCGAAGUAAUUGCAAACUUACAGAAAAGUUGUGGCGAUGUGCAUUCUUGUAGUCCUCCCUUGAGAGCGCCAUUCACCAGGAGAGUCUUGCCAUUUUUGAGGCGGGGCCCCCACUGAGGUCUUUGCUAAUAUCUUGUGAGAGGUCGGCCAGAUCACAUCUUCGAUGAAUCCUGGAAGAACAGAAGCGGGAGACCAAUUACAUACCUCAGUUUGCACGACCAGAUUCGGUUUUUUUUUUUAAAUCCUCACCCUCUGAUAACAGAGUUAGGUGUUUACAGUUCAGCUGAGAAGCCUGCUUGACAGCCCAGCAUGGUCAAGGUUAUAUAAAGCAUAACAAUGUUGUCUUCAAAAAAAUCAUCUGAGGUAUGGGAACAUCAUUUACCCUGACUUCUCCAGAAGGAAAACGACAUGACUGGUGUGUGGGCUGCUCUGAUGAAUCAACAGCAUGAACUUUCAGAUUUUGACCAGACUAAAUAUAAAAGAAGAAUUGUGACCUCCCCAGUUGCAGCAUGAAUAGUGUCUUUAACUUCAUCAAGAUAUGGGAGUUGGGACUGAGAACUGGCUGGGACCUGAGCUGAGUCUGAGGACUGAAUGGAAACUGGCUGGGUCUGAAGACUGGCUGGGACUGAGCUGGGUCUGAGCUGAGUCUGAGGACUGAAUGGAAACUGGCUGGGUCUGAAGACUGGCUGGGACUGAGCUGGGUCUGAAGACUGGCUGGGACUGGCUGGGUCUGAGCUGGGUCUGAGGACUGAAUGGGUCUGAGGACUGGCUGGGUGUACUGGCUAGUUUUGUGUCAACUUGACACAGGCUGGAGUUACCACAGAGAAAGGAGCUUCAGUUGGGGAAAUGCCUCCACAAGAUCCAGCUGUAAGGCAUUUUCUCAAUUAGUGAUCAAGUGGGGAGGUCCCCUUGUGGAUGGUGCCAUCCCUGGGCUGGUAGUCUUGGUUCUAUAAGAGAGCAGGCUGAGCAAGCCAGGGGAAGCAAGCCAGUAAAGAACAUCCCUCCAUGGCCUCUGCAUCAGCUCCUGUUUUCUGACCUGCUUGAGUUCCAGUCCUGACUUCCUUUGGUGAUGAACAGCAAUGUGGAAAUGUAAGCUGAAUAAACCCUUUCCUCCCCAACUUGCUUCUUGGUCAUGAUGUUUGUGCAGGAAUAGAAACCCUGACUAAGACACUGGGACUGGCUGGGACUGAGCUGGUCUGAGGACUGGCUGGGACUGAGCUGGUCUGAGGACUGGCUGGGUCUGAGCUGGGUAUGAGGACUGACCGGGUCUGAGCUGGGUCUGAGGACUGGCUGGUAGAGUGGAGAGCUGUAUAGGUCUGAUUUAUACAAGUCAAGGGGCUCAGUCUAAUUUCCAAAAUACGUUACAUAAUGGUAGGAGACAAACUGCACUCUUGGAUAAAAGCAUAAAUGAACUUGAUAAGUUUAAAAAAAACUGAAAUACCCUGUCUGCAAGGAUUUGAGUUACAGCACUUUCAGGAAAGUUACGUGUGAUAUUAAAGGCAGAAUGGUUACAGUUUCUGGAAUAUCAGAAUUAGGUCUGUAGACAGAUCAAUU